UGUGCUCACACGGGGUGCCCUUCCAAGGCUGAGAGGCGACGCGCCAACCCGAUGAACCUGAUCCGGCUCGUACCGGCGGAGGGAUGGGGAGCGCCGGGGCC
rnacentral:ncRNA from 2 species